CCUACGGGGGGCAGCAGUGGGGAAUAUUGCGCAAUGGGCGAAAGCCUGACGCAGCGACGCCGCGUGAGGGAUGAAGGUCUUAGGAUCGUAAACCUCUGUCAGCAGGGAAGAACGGUCACUGUGCUAAUCAGCAGUGAAUUGACGGUACCUGCAAAGGAAGCACCGGCUAACUCCGUGCCAGCAGCCGCGGUAAUACGGAGGGGGCGAGCGUUAAUCGGAAUUACUGGGCGUAAAGCGCUCGUAGGCGGUAUGUCAAGUCAAGGGUGAAAUCCCCGGGCUCAACGUGGGAACUGCCUUUGAAACUGGCAGACUGGAGUGUGUGAGAGGAUAGUGGAAUUCCAGGUGUAGGAGUGAAAUCCGUAGAUAUCUGGAGGAACAUCAGUGGCGAAGGCGACUAUCUGGCACAUAACUGACGCUGAGGAGCGAAAGCGUGGGUAGCAAACAGGAUUAGAUACCCUGGUAGUC
rnacentral:rRNA from 1 species